rnacentral:rRNA from 1 species
UACGUAGGCAGCGAGCGUUGUUCGGAAUUACUGGGCGUAAAGAGUGUGUAGGCGGUGCUCCAAGUCUGGUGUGAAAUCUCCCGGCUCAACUGGGAGGGUGCGCCGGAAACUGGAAUGCUAGAGGGUGGGAGAGUAAGCGGAAUUCCUGGUGUAGCGGUGAAAUGCGUAGAUAUCAGGAGGAACACCUGUGGUGUAGACAGCUUACUGGACCACUUCUGACGUGAGACACGAAAGCGUGGGGAGC